UACAGAGGGGGCAAGCGUUAUUCGGAAUUAUUGGGCGUAAAGGGCGCGUAGGCGGCCUGGCAAGUGGAAGGUGAAAUCCUUCGGCUUAACCGAGGAACUGCCCUCCAAACUGCUUGGCUUGAGUCCGGGAGAGGUGAGUGGAAUUCCCAGUGUAGCGGUGAAAUGCGUAGAUAUUGGGAGGAACACCAGUGGCGAAGGCGGCUCACUGGACCGGAACUGACGCUGAUGCGCGAAAGCGUGGGGAGCAAACGGG
rnacentral:rRNA from 1 species